rnacentral:rRNA from 1 species
AUGUAUUUUUGAUGAUAAUUUAAGGUUUAAUCUGCUCAAUGAGGAAUUAAAUGACCGCAGUAUAUUGACUGUGCUAAGGUAGCAUAAUCAUUUAGUUUUUUUUAUUGAAAGGUGGAAUGAAUAAUUGGACGAGAGAAUUACUGUAUCUUAAACAAUUAAAAUUGCACUUAAUUUUUAAAUAAAAAAGCUUAAAUUUUAUUUAAAGACGAGAAGACCCUAUAGAGAUUUAAUUUAAUAAAAAUAUUUAAUUUAAUUGGAAUACAAUUUUUAUUUUAUUUAGUAUUUAAUUGGGGUGAUAAAAAGAUUAAUUAAACUUUUUUAAGUUAAAUCAUUGAUUUGUGAAUAUUAAAUCUAUUAUUUUUAAUUUUCAAUUAAAUUAUGUUAGAGAUAACAGCGUAUUUCUUGUAAAGUUCUUAUUUAAAAAAAUGAUUGCGACCUCGAUGUUGGAUUAAAUUUUAUUUUUGGUGUAGAAGCUAAAAAAUUAGGCCUGUUCUACCUUAGAAAAUUUACAUGAUCUGAAU